GCGGAGCUUGCAGUGAGCUGAGAUCCGGCCACUGCACUCCAGCCUGGGCGACAGAGCGAAAAGAAAAGGAAGAGACAAAACUAUCAUUAUUUGCAUAUGAAAAUGAUAAAUGUUAGACAGUCAAAGAAGCCUAAGAGAAUCAGCUAAGAUUUUAGUGGAAGCAAUAUGAGGAUUCAGUACGGUGGCUAGAAACAAAAUCAAGAGAGCAGCACACAAAAGUCAAAUACUUGUCAGAUGUACCACCAAUAACUAAUUAGAAAAUGGAAGUAAGUCCCAUUUACAAUGGCAAUACAAAUGUAUGAAGUAUUUAGGAAGAAAAAUACAAAGAUCUGUUAUGUAACAAAAGACGUGUAAGAUCUGUAUGAUGGAAACCCUAAAACUCUUCUGAAAGACAUUAACAAGAAAUGAAUAAAUGACAUGAAAUACCACGUUCCCAGAAUGUUGUACAGAUGUCAAUUCUCAAAUUAAUCUACAAAUUUAAGGUAAUCCUAUUCAAAUCCCAAGAUAGUUUUUGGUGGUAGCUAUUUUUAAGACAGGGUCUCGCUCUGUUGUCCAGGCUAGAGUGCGGUGGUAUGACCACAGCUCACUUCAUCCUCAACCUCCCAGGCUCAAACAAUCCUCCCACUUCAGCCUCUGAAGUCUCUCAUAUGGUGUCCAAGAAAUGGGGACAAAUCUCACAAAGGGACUAGGCUCAGGAGGGCUGGAAUAUUCAGGGAAGGUGUUUUUUUUGUUUUGUUUUGUUUUUGUUUUUGGAGGCAGAGUCUCGCUUUGUCACCAAAGCUCGAGUGCAGUGGCCCGAUCUUGGCUCCCUGCAUGCUCUGCCUCCCAGGUUCACGCCAUUCUCCUGCCUCAGCCUCACGAGUAGCUGGGACUACAUGCGCCUGCCACCACGCACAGCUAAUUUUUUGUAUUUUUAGUAGAGACAGGGUUUCACUGUGUUAGCCAGGAUGGUCUCGAUCUCCUGACCUCAUGAUCCGCCGCCUCAGCCUCUGAAAGUGCUGGGAUUACAAGCGUGAGCCACCGCGCCUGGCCUAUUCAGGGAAGGUUUCAAGCAGAAAGAUGAACUUGAGUUGGCUUUGGAGAGAUUCAUGGGACUCCCACAGGCAGAGUGAAAUAAGGGCAUUUUAGAUGGACAAAUGCACAGACAAGAGCAGAAAUGCGGAUGGUGUGACUGGGGUAUGGUGAGGGGCUGAUCUGGCUGGAAUGGAGGGCUGCCACAAUAAUGGAAAUGGUAAAUGAGGCAAAUAAGGUUGGAUUGGGAGCAUGGCGUCAAGGUUGCCAGCUUAUUAAAUCACUCUUCCAAUAUGCUAGCAGUGGCCUCUUGGGAAAAGUAAUACAUCAUGUAAUCGAACAAAAGGCAAACAGAGGCAAGCUCCAGGAAUGGGCACUGUGAACAGGACUCGCCCCAGAGUAGCCAGAUGUAGGCUUUAGACAUGUUAAUGCAGGUUGAGCAUCUCUGAGCCGAGGGGGAAUGUCUCACAUGGUGUCCAAGAAAUGGUGACACAUCUCACAGAGGGCCGAGGCUCAGGAGGGCUGGAGUAUGAGACAUUCCCCCUCCCCUGUGAACUUAAAAAUGUGGCCAACAAUUUUUUUUUUAAAUGGCUACUCUGUAGUGCUUUAACUGGACCUAUUUAGACAAUGCCUUACACACUGGAAAAGGAUGAUACUGUGUGAAUCUAAUAAGUCUACAAGACAAUAGUUCUCUCUAUUGGCUGUCUCCUUCCUCUCCAGGGUGAUGACAACUUCGUGAGGGUGAUUAUACGUCUCUCAUCAUUUCAGCAACAAGGAAAUAAAUUAGUGGCAGAGUAAGGGGUGACUUGGUGAGUACAUCUAAUUGUUGACAUCGUUUUACGUGGGAGAAAUUUUGCUAUUACAUCAACUUCUUAAAAUAGUCUAGUGGGAUUAACUUGGUUUCAUUUCACAGAGACCUCCUGGAAAUGAGGAUCCUUUAAAAUCCUGGAAUAUAUACUGCAGUAAAAGAACAAAGUAUACCUCAGCCUUAAAGGACUGAAAAAGAAUGUCAAGUAGCAGCAGCUGAGAUCUUGUUGCUGCACUCCAGCAACGAGGCUCUGUCUCAAAAAAAAAAGAAAAAGAAAAAGAAAAAUCUGCUGGGUCGAGUGCGGUGGCUCACACCUGUAACUCAAGCACUUUGGGAGGCCGAGGCGGGUGGAUCAAUUGAGUGAACAAGAAAAAGAAAAGAAAUAGGAAGAAAUAAAAGAAAAUCAGCCUUUACAUUAACCCAAGAAUCAUCACUUUUGCAGAAAUUAUAAAAAUAAUAAUAAUUACAACCAACUGAAUCAGUAACCACGAGGGCGGAGUCCGGAACUGAGUUCUAACGCGCCCUCUCAGUGAUUGUGAUGCAGAUCUAUCUACAGCACUGCUGCAGUAACACGGUUCCCCACGAUGGCUCCUCAGCUGGGCAUUCAAAGCCCUAGAAGAUCUGGUUCCAAUGUCCUACUCUCCCUCCUUGUACUCUACAGAGCUAUCAGCUUCCCAGUUUGCGCAAUUCAUCAAGAAACAAUGUGGGGCCACUGGCACAAAUGAUGAGGCAUCUCCCGGAAGCUUAACUUCCUAUCCAUCCCAUCUCUUGGACAGACGAUGCCAGUUAUUACUUUGAAUGUAAGUAUUUUAUCAAAAAGCACUUAUGUGUCUAAACAAACUCCUACAAAUCAACACAAAAAUGGUAAAUAAUUCAACAGAAAAAUAGGCAAAAGCUUAUCACUAUCAAUAAAUAAGCAGAAAGAAACCCUACGCCAGGUAGCACCAAAGCUUUGCCCUCUGUUGAAACAUCCUAGGCUUUUUCUUUCCACUCUUAUUACAACCGAUCUGAUUUGGCCCCUUCACACUUUACUCCUACGUUUUGCAAGACCUUUCUAAGUUGUCUCCCUGAAAUAAGCUUUUCCUUUUGGGCGCUCUACAUAGGGAUUCUAAAAUAAUCCUUUGCAUGUCUACACUUGAACAUAAAGCAAAAAACAAAAUAAAAUAAUUCUCCUGUUUU